AGUGAACGCUGGCGGUAGGCCUAACACAUGCAAGUCGAACGGCAGCACAGUAAGAGCUUGCUCUUACGGGUGGCGAGUGGCGGACGGGUGAGGAAUACAUCGGAAUCUACUUUUUCGUGGGGGAUAACGUAGGGAAACUUACGCUAAUACCGCAUACGACCUACGGGUGAAAGCAGGGGAUCUUCGGACCUUGCGCGAUUGAAUGAGCCGAUGUCGGAUUAGCUAGUUGGCGGGGUAAAGGCCCACCAAGGCGACGAUCCGUAGCUGGUCUGAGAGGAUGAUCAGCCACACCGGAACUGAUACACGGUCCAGACUCCUACGGGAGGCAGCAGUGGGGAAUAUUGGACAAUGGGCGCAAGCCUGAUCCAGCCAUACCGCGUGGGUCAAGAAGGCCUUCGGGUUGUAAAGCCCUUUUGUUGGGAAAGAAAAGCAGCAGGUUAAUACCCCGCUGUUCUGACGGUACCCAAAGAAUAAGCACCGGCUAACUUCGUG
rnacentral:rRNA from 1 species